UACGUAGGUGGCGAGCGUUGUCCGGAUUUACUGGGCGUAAAGGGCGUGCAGGCGGUUUGUUAAGUUCAGGGUGAAAGCUCCCGGCUCAACUGGGAGAGGUCCUUGGAUACUGGCAGACUUGAGGAGAGUAGAGGAAAGUGGAAUUCCCGGUGUAGUGGUGAUAUGCGUAGAUAUCGGGAGGAACACCAGUGGCGAAGGCGGCUUUCUGGGCUCUACCUGACGCUGAGACGCGAAAGCGUGGGGAGCGAAC
rnacentral:rRNA from 1 species